UACGAAGGGGGCUAGCGUUGCUCGGAAUCACUGGGCGUAAAGGGUGCGUAGGCGGGUCUUUAAGUCAGGGGUGAAAUCCUGGAGCUCAACUCCAGAACUGCCUUUGAUACUGAAGAUCUUGAGUCCGGGAGAGGUGAGUGGAACUGCGAGUGUAGAGGUGAAAUUCGUAGAUAUUCGCAAGAACACCAGUGGCGAAGGCGGCUCACUGGCCCGUUUCUGACGCUCAUGCACGACAGCGUGGGGAUCAAACAGG
rnacentral:rRNA from 1 species